UACGUAGGUGGCAGACGUGUUCGGUUCGAUCUGGGCGUAAAGGGAGCGUAGGUGGAUAUUUAAGUGGGAUGUGAAAUACUCGGGCUUAACCUGAGUGCUGCAUUCCAAACUGGAUAUCUAGAGUGCAGGAGAGGAAAGUAGAAUUCCUAGUGUAGCGGUGAAAUGCGUAGAGAUUAGGAAGAAUACCAGUGGCGAAGGCGACUUUCUGGACUGUAACUGACACUGAGGCUCGAAAGCGUGGGGAGCAAACAGG
rnacentral:rRNA from 1 species